rnacentral:rRNA from 1 species
GGAUGCGAUCAUACCAGCACUAAAGCACCGGAUCCCAUCAGAACUCCGAAGUUAAGCGUGCUUGGGCGAGAGUAGUACUGGGAUGGGUGACCUCCUGGGAAGUCCUUGUGUUGCAUUCA